rnacentral:rRNA from 1 species
UGGGGAAUAUUGCACAAUGGGCGAAAGCCUGAUGCAGCAACGCCGCGUGCGGGAUGACGGCCUUCGGGUUGUAAACCGCUUUUAGUAAGGAAGAAGCCGCAAGGUGACGGUACUUGCAGAAAAAGGACCGGCUAACUACGUGCCAGCAGCCGCGGUAAUACGUAGGGUCCGAGCGUUGUCCGGAAUUAUUGGGCGUAAAGAGCUCGUAGGCGGUUUGUCGCGUCUGCUGUGAAAACUAGAGGCUCAACCUCUAGCCUGCAGUGGGUACGGGCAGACUUGAGUGGUGUAGGGGAGACUGGAAUUCCUGGUGUAGCGGUGGAAUGCGCAGAUAUCAGGAGGAACACCGAUGGCGAAGGCAGGUCUCUGGGCACUUACUGACGCUGAGGAGCGAAAGCGUGGGGAGCGAACAGG